rnacentral:rRNA from 1 species
AGUGAACGCUGGCGGUAGGCCUAACACAUGCAAGUCGAACGGCAGCACAGUAAGAGCUUGCUCUUACGGGUGGCGAGUGGCGGACGGGUGAGGAAUACAUCGGAAUCUACUUUUUCGUGGGGGAUAACGUAGGGAAACUUACGCUAAUACCGCAUACGACCUACGGGUGAAAGCAGGGGAUCUUCGGACCUUGCGCGAUUGAAUGAGCCGAUGUCGGAUUAGCUAGUUGGCGGGGUAAAGGCCCACCAAGGCGACGAUCCGUAGCUGGUCUGAGAGGAUGAUCAGCCACACUGGAACUGAGACACCGUCCAGACUCCUACGGGAGGCAGCAGUGGGGAAUAUUGGACAAUGGGCGCAAGCCUGAUCCAGCCAUACCGCGUGGGUGAAGAAGGCCUUCGGGUUGUAAAGCCCUUUUGUUGGGAAAGAAACGCAGCAGGUUAAUACCCCGCUGUUCUGACGGUACCCAAAGAAUAAGCACCGGCUAACUUCGUG